AAUGAUUUUUACCAUUAUAGGCUGGUUGUAUACACACUGUGAACACACAUCUGUGUUCAAACACCUUAUAAAAGAGAAUUUUGCAUAAUAGGUCCCCUUUAAGUCAUAGCUAGCAUUUUCUGUUUUAUAAGAGUCAAUGAUGCUUUCUUAAAACAUAGACAAUCAAUAAUGACCACAAACAGAAAUGUCAAAGUAUAGCAGUAAAAAUGUCUUUCUUCCCAAUGUCUUAACAGCUAUAGAUGGCACCAAAGUGACUGCGAACUUCCCUGAGCAGUCUAAUUGGACAGGCAUUGUCUCAGAGAUGGAGGCUGUAACUUAAUGAUGAUACACAACAUUCAGGAGCUGUUGAUUACAUUUUACUGUGCAAGGGUUUAAAAUAUACAGAUGUUUAUGAAUGAGGUUGCUGUUAACACGUGUAGAGUUUUAUGAACAUAUUAUUACUGCCCACUGGGAUCCACUUGGAUGGCCUGAUCCUUACAGUCUUAAAAGACUAAGACUUUAUUUUACAGUGUCCUUGUUUCAUGUUACAUGUAGUUUCUAUAGUAAUAACUAUAAAAUAUGCAUAAUUGCAUGCAACCUACCCUAAACCAAACCCUAAUCCUGCACUAUUCCCUACACUUAAGCACAUUAAUUAUUUAAUAUUUAAUUAAUAUUACUCAGUACUUAAAUGUAUAAUUACACUGUAACAAGGACACCUUCAAACCUUAAAGUUAAGUGUAACUGGACCUAAAUGUGAAGUUUAUUACAUAAAGAUUGCAUAAAAAUGCAUUUUCCACGACCAUAAUAUACUAAAAUGAAUGUGUUAACAUAUGCUAAUAUAUAUGUAUUUUUUAUGUAUUUGCAAUAUAUGCUAAUAUGUAGCUUAUGUGUGUUUAUGUUCUUUUCAUUUUUGUAUGACUGCUCACAAGUAGGAUUUGGUUUCUUGGGUUGACUUAGAAUUGCUAUUUCUUUUAUUCAUUUUCAUUUAUUUUGGAAUGUUUUUGUAAAGAAUUGUAAUGUUUAUGUUUUAAACAAAUAAAUACAAACUCUGCAUCCCAAUUU